GUGCUCACUUCAGUAGCACAUGCACUAAAAUUGGAAUGAUAUAGCAAAGACCAUAGCAUGGCACCUGUGGGAGGAUGAUUUGCAAAUUUGUGAAGUGUUCCAUAUUUUU
ensembl:snRNA U6 U6 spliceosomal RNA